ACGCCUAGCGCCACUUGCAGAGUGCGGACAAACUUCAAACUACUUUGCGUCAUGGAAACUGAAUGGUGCGUGUCGUGUUUGUAGUCGUGGAUUUAUUUACUUUUGUUUGACUGUGAAGUGAUUUAUGAAUAAAUACUGACCAUAUAAUAAUGAAAGUUCACGAAGGUGACCAGAAGUGAUACCUAGCAACAAAAUAAUAAAUAUUUAAUUUAUCAAGAUUUUUCUAUUUUUAUGAGAUGAAGACUGUGUCAGAAAAAUCGUCCACUAGGAAGAAUGGGUAUCAAUCCGAUGAUGACAAUGUCAGAUACAAAAUAAACACUGUUUAUUUUAAUAAGCUCAAUAAAUCACCAAACACACAAAAGAAACAAGAAAAAGUUUUGAAUGAUGACAAUGAUGUACGUUACAAAUUCCCCACAGUACUUCAUAAUAAACCUAAAGUUGAGCAGAAACCGAAACCAAAACCAAAAAUCAAAGUAAACUUCUGGAGCAAUAAACAAACAGGAAGCCGUCUCCAUAAUGUUGAAGCCAAUAAGGAAAAAGUUAACCGAAGACAUACAGUAGCAGCAGUUUCAGAAGAGGCUACAUUGAGCAAACCUAAAAAUUCUGGUGUCAAAGUUAAGAAACGUGUGUCUUUUCUGCCUUCACCGCUGUUUUCGGACAACCAUGUACCGAUGGUUACAGUGCCUGAUGAUUUGACUAUACACCUGAAUGAAGAAGAAGCAAACGACUUGGGAGAAGAUCUUAAUUCAGCUUUUGUGAACAGUAACAACACUGAUGAUGAGGUAUCUAAGCGUAAAAAUAAAAUUUCUACCAUCCAAACAAGUCCAAAAGGUAAACGCAAACGUAGCUCAGAUGAUUAUGAUGCUAGAGGUCAAGGUAACGAGAAUGAACUCGAAUUCUUCUCAAAGUAUGUUGUACAAAAACUGAGGAGAAUGGAAACCAACCAACGCAUCUACUCUGAAAAUUUGAUAAACACAGUACUAAUGUUGGGCCAGCUCGGGAAGUUAAAUGUCAAAUCAAAAAUAGCAGAAGCAUAAUGUGUUUGUGUUCACAACUAUGUUUAAUUACAUUAAUAGUAGGGCUUAUUUGUAAAUAACCUUGUUUUCUGGGUACUAUUCUAUUGAAUAAAUCUGAUUUGUACUUUGCCCCAAUUGAUAAAAUAUGCAUGUUUCGAACUAAAUUGAAAUCAAACUGUUACAUUGUUAUGAUUUUGGUGAAUCUAUUUGUUACCAGUUAGUUAUUUAGCAAGUUAUACAUUCAUAACAUUUUACAUGGACAUGUUAUAAUUGAUUAAAAUAUUUUAAAGAACUUAAAAAGGUCCACGAAAAUAUCUCUAUGAAAUUAUUGUUCGGUGGAUGUAGCUUUACAUAUUUUAUGGUAGGUACUAACUGUAUGAUUAUUUCACAAUAUUUUGACCAUGCAUAUUGCAUAGAUAGGCUAUGUCACUAUCGAGUAUAAUAAAAUCUAUUAAAAAGACUUGAAAAUGCUUCAAGUGGACUUAGUACCGAAUAAAUAUACAUAAAUAAAAUAGUUAAAUUCACUAAUUUUAUAGCAAAUGAAAUGUAUGGUAAAAAGCUAUAAAAAUGGUGCUGUAAUUUUAGAUGUAAUAUAUUAAGAUUUGUAUGGAAUGUUAAAUUUUUUUUUCUUUGGUGUCCAUUGUUGCUUAGUAAAUAUUUAAGUACAUAUCAAUCUGUGUUGAUUUAUUCAGGUGUUAGAGAUCUUAACAUAAAAUCAACAAUUAUUAAUAACUAUUGUACUAUCAAUUAUAUGAUAGCUAAGCAUUUGUGUACCCAAUGUAAUAAUAAAAGGGAAUGGCUCCUUUAUGGAGAUAACUAUGAUGUUAUUCUUUAAUUAGAAUGAAAAUGCAUUCAAGUAUUGUAAUGUAAUAUCAAACUUAUUCAAGGCAUCAUAUUAAUAGCUCUCUUUUCAGAAAAAUGUUUUUUUUUAUCACAGACUUUAAUCUAUAACUUGAGAUUGAGUUAAGUUUUGAGCCUAGUUGUAAAAAUAAAUUAAUUUAUAGUUCAAGCCUCAUAGUACCUACAUUUUAUUGUGUGGUGAAAUCACGUACAUAUUUUUAAAGUACAUAUUUUGUUAAUGCACAUUUACAAUGCAGAUGGUAGACAAUCUACUUUAGAUUUAUUUUAGAGUAUUCUUAACUUGCCUAUUUCCUUGAUCAUAAUAAAAUAAUUCUUGUUGCAAUGAAUUGCUUGUUUUCUUAAUAUUUUUCGUUACAACGAAUUGAAUAGAAUAAUUAGGAGAGCUAUAACUUUAUUGUCUACAGUUGAGUUACGUUACGACUUUUUGUCAUUUAUAAAUACAGUUUAUUAAUAAUCUUAACUCAAUGCUGUUAUACCCUAGUGUGAUCGCCUGUUAUUAUCUAUAAGUAUUACUUUUGUUUGCUGUUUCUUUUUCUAAUAUCAUUAUGUCAACAAUUGUGCACAAUAUUAAUGGGUAUAUUAUGUAGUUAUGUAUGUGAAUAUGUAAUUAGAAAAUCUUUAAAGCAAUUUAUUGUUGUUAAUGAAAUAAAACGUUUACAUGUUUACACACUUUCUUGUUAUAGCUCAAAUAUUGUGGUUUUCAAACUUGACUAUAUUUUUGUCUUCAACCUAUCUUUGACACAGAUUUAUUUAUAUUGAGAUAGUAUGAAGGCGUGUUCCUGCCUUACUAAUAAAAUAUUUAAAAAUA